UACAGAGGUCUCGAGCGUUAGGCGGAAUCACUGGGCUUAAAGCGUGUGUAGGCGGAUUGGUAAGUACCUUGUGAAAUCCCACGGCUUAACCGUGGAACUGCUUGGUAUACUGCCUGUCUUGAGCCAGCUAGGGGCGACCGGAACAAAUGGUGGAGCGGUGAAAUGCGUAGAUAUCAUUUGGAACGCCAAUGGUGAAAACAGGUCGCUGGGGCUGUGCUGACGCUGAGACACGAAAGCCAGGGGAGCAAACGGG
rnacentral:rRNA from 1 species